AUCACAGAAUCAAAUAAUUGUCUUUCAGAGACAAUAGACUAGUCAAAUACUAGUCAAAAAUAAUUUGCAGUCAGAGAGGACAGGAGGAGUGCUAUGUAGCCUUUCAACAAUCUGGAAUGGAGUCACAGACCUCCCAACACAAGAGAGCUGCAGAGAAAACAGAAGAAUUGAGCCUAGCAGCAUCGAGUACAUAGUGUAAGUGAAGAACCUCUCACAUGAAAGAAGUCCAAAUACUGUUACCUGUCCGAAGAAAAAUUUGGAGGACAGAAACAGAGGCCCAACUAGUUUAUCGACUAAAAUAUAAGAGACCACAUUUCUGGAUAACAGAAGAGAGGAUAAAAAAAAAAAACACUAUGGUCAUCAAUCUAGAACGGGAUGCACUUGGCAUCUCUCC